CAAAAAUUCAACAUUCAUAUCACAAAAUUCAGCCAUGUUUGUUAAUCUCACACAUCUUCAUCAAAAACCCAUCUGAAAACCCCCAAAAAAUCCGACCCGUUUUACCCAUUUUCAGCCAUGUUUAGCUAUCUAAUACUCUAUCAAAAACCCAUCUGAAAACCAGAAAUUGUUCAGACCCAUUUGCCCAUUUCAUAGAUAAACCCGACCCAUUUG
rnacentral:misc_RNA from 1 species